rnacentral:rRNA from 1 species
UACGUAGGGUGCGAGCGUUGUCCGGAAUUACUGGGCGUAAAGAGCUCGUAGGCGGUUUGUCGCGUCGGCUGUGAAAUCCCGAGGCUCAACCUCGGGCCUGCAGUCGAUACGGGCAAACUAGAGUGUGGUAGGGGAGACUGGAAUUCCUGGUGUAGCGGUGAAAUGCGCAGAUAUCAGGAGGAACACCGGCGGCGAAGGCGGGUCUCUGGGCCAUAACUGACGCUGAGGAGCGAAAGCGUGGGGAGCGAACAGG